GCAGCCGCCGCGGUAAUACGGAGGGAGCUAGCGUUGUUCGGAAUUACUGGGCGUAAAGCGCGCGUAGGCGGUUACUCAAGUCAGAGGUGAAAGCCCGGGGCUCAACCCCGGAACUGCCUUUGAAACUAGGUGACUAGAAUCUUGGAGAGGUCAGUGGAAUUCCGAGUGUAGAGGUGAAAUUCGUAGAUAUUCGGAAGAACACCAGUGGCGAAGGCGACUGACUGGACAAGUAUUGACGCUGAGGUGCGAAAGCGUGGGGAGCAAACAGGAUUAGAGACCCCUGUAGUCCCUGUCUCUUAUAC
rnacentral:rRNA from 1 species